UCUAGUUAAUUCUUCGCAGCAACUUUCUCAAAUAGCAACUUUCUCAAAUAGAAUGGCAAUCACAUCCUCGUGGUGUGAUGCGUCUCUCGCCAAUUUUUAGCUCAACAACAACGAAACGAAAGGAUAUUACCCAGUUUAUGAGACAUAAUAUCCGGUGGUUAAAACUAAAAGUGGAGGGGCGAAAAAGAGGCGCAAAUUUUGUCAAAAAUUUCCCCGGCCCAAACCACUCCUCCCAGGAAAAAAAAAAAAAAAGAAACCCUUUGACACAAAGGAUUUUCAACUCUUAUUCGUAACUGCUACUUUGCCCUGCCUUCCAGAUUUUAAUGUCUGGAUUUCCUUGAUAUGAAUCCAUUCAGUUUCGGAAGUCUGAAGUGGUAUUAACUUCAAAAGCUGAAAUAUACAUUCAUUACGCCUCGUGCCUUAGGAAGGAGAUAUGGGAGAAGCUUGAGAUCUUAUUGCCUCAAGGUCCAUUUGAUUCUGGAAGGUGAUUAGUAAGAGGUUAGAACAAGUAUAAAGAUCUUAAUUUGUGACGGCAAUAUGUACCCCUUGUGCAUGCACUUACGAGAAGACAUAUUUAUGAGAAGAUAAGUUGGAACACAUAUCAAGGGAGUCUAAAGAAUGCAUCCUCGAAAACCGUGCCCAGCAAGUUGUAGCAGCUGAAAUUGUUGAAGCACAAGCGAACCCUACUUUGUUUGGACAGGGAUUGUUUAAAGAUGUAGUUUCUACAUGUUACAAUUCUAUUUUCCUAUUUUAGUAGAGAAAAAUAAUGUUAUGCAAGUUGGAUGGAUAUAUUUUCUGUAAUAUGAUGCUCUUGUUCUUUGAUUGACCAUGAAAUUUAUAUAAAUAUUGAUAUGUUUUUGAA